GCGACGGUCCGUGGUCGUGCCCUUCUUGGAGGCAUCGUCUUGGAACCCUCGGUCCGGCGUGGUCCGUUGCACUUCUUCCCGGACGAUCUCUCAUUGUGGUAGUCGUUGAAGUUGUGUGUCGGUGCCCGGCAUUCUUGUUUCUUGCCUUGGGUUGUGUGGCGUGCGUUUGUAUCGGUUACUUGGAUGUAAGUGUUGGUGCUUUAUUUAUAAAGCGGGGGGAAACCCUUUUUCAGCAAAAUAAGUACAAUUUCAGGUCAUCAAGCCCGGUCACACACAAGCCAUUGAAGCAAUUUGUAUUGAACUCACCAGCGCAUAACGGAGCAAGCAGCAGUGGUGGAGAAGAGCACAAAGUGGUCAUGGUCGAACCAGUGCUGCCGUGAACAUCACCUGAACAGUCGCCGUAACCAGCCGACCAUAUCGGAGACAAGAUUCUACUAUCUGCACGUCUACUACGAACCAGAUUAGGAAUUGAAGCAACUGAAAAUUAUUGAAGCAGGCAAAGAUGGCUAGAUGGCCGCUGAUUGUGGUGGCCUCCCGCUUGCCGGUCAAGUCCUUAGCCUGGAGCCCCUUCAACUCCACCACCGGGAGAACAUAGAUCCAUAGGCUGGUAGUCAAAUCGGGAUUUCAAGGGGUGCAGGAGCAACCAGAUCGGGAGCACCCAGAUGCACGGAUAUCAACUUGGGAAGAACAUCACAAAGGAAACGAACCUAAUCGGAAUUUUGGAACGGAAAUCACUAAAAUUGGACUUGCUCAC
rnacentral:lncRNA from 1 species